rnacentral:rRNA from 1 species
CCUGGUUUUAAAAGUAAAAUUGAAGCUAAGGUUUGGGGACGCCCAACAGGAGUCCUUCCUCUAGAAUAGCUUUGGCCACCCCAAACACCAAAGAAAAAAUUUUUUCUCCGCCCCCCCCCCCCGCGGUUUCACUUACACAGCGUACAGGUCCGUCCUAAGGGGCUUUUUGGAGGGAAAAAGUCGUAACAAGGUUUCCGUAGGUGAACCUGCGGAAGGAUCAUUGCGGAGUGGGGCGCCCUAGCGGCCCAACCUCGCACCGUUGUCUCUCUACACAUGUUGCUUGGGCGGCCCCACGGGGCCCACCCGGUCGCCGGGGGACGCAGGUCCCCGGGCCGGCGCCCGCCGAAGCCCUCUGUAAACCAUGAUGAUGAUGGUCUUUUUGAGUACGAUGAAAAUAGUCAAAACUUUCAACAAUGGAUCUCUUGGUUCCGGCAUAGAUGAAGAACGCAGCGAAAUGGGAUAGGUAAUGUGAAUUGCAGAAUUCCCAGAAUCAUCGAAUCUUUGCACGCACACUGCGCCCCCUGGCAUUCCGGGGGGCAUGCCAGUCCCAGCGUCAUUUUUGCCCUCAAGCACGGCUUGUGUGUCGGGUGUGGUCCCCUCGGGGACCUGCCCGAAAGGCAGCGGCGACGUCCGUCUGGUCCUCGAGCGUAUGGGGUUCUGUCACUCGCUCGGGAAGCACCUGCGGGGGUUGGUCACCUACCAUAUUCUACUCCACAGGUUGACCUCGAUCAGAUGAUACCAG